AGUCUCGCUCUGUCACCAGUCUGGAGUGCAGUGGUGCGAUCUCGGCUCACUGCAACCUCCGCCUCCUGGGUUCAAGUGAUUCUCCUGCCUCAGCCUCCCGAGUAGCAGGGACUACAGGCGCGCGCCACCACGCCCAGCUAAUUUUUGUGUUUUUUGUAGAGACGGAGUUUCACCAUGUUGGCCAGGAAGGUCUCGAUCUCUUGACCUCGUGAUCCGCCCACCUCGGCCUCCCAAAGUGCUGGGAUUACAGGCGUGAGCCACUGCGCCCGGCCUGAAGGACAAAUUUCAAGUGUGUCCCAAUUCUUUCUUCUAGGGAGAGAAGGCAGAAAUGGAAGACAACACAAAACACAAAGACGUUCUAUUAAGCAGGCGUUUCAUUGAAGCAUUUGAUGUGCUUCAGUAGGCCUCAGAUUCUCAAAACGGGAUGGAUACUUCAGUGAGACGUUAGAGAACACAUUUAUUCCUGUACAAGGCCACACCAAAAAAAUCUCUAUCAACACUGAACAUCUAUCUUCUUUACUGAGCAUCCUUUCUUUGGUAGGAGUGAAGAGAUGUGAAGCUAGUCAAACUUCUCGAAUGCCCCUCCACCUUCAUCUAUUCCCUAAAAAGCAAUUUCCCCAUCAGACAGCAGAGCCAAGUGGACUAUGAUCCUAUCAAUACCAGGAGAGGCAAGAGAAACAAAGCAGCGAUCUGACUCCUUGGUACUCAAGGUAGGAGUGCUAGACCUGGAGAGGCCGGGAAAUUAGGGUGCCCAAUUUAAAUAUUUAAUUAAAAAGUAUUCAGACUUAAAAAAAAAAAAAGAUGCAGAGCAAAGGAGUGCCACACUAUUCAGAAAGGAAUGCAAAUGCUGAGUCAUCACUCUUCAUUGGGAAAGGAAGGAAACCAGAAUUAAGUGGUUGGAAGAUGGAAUUCAUUCAUUAGAUUGAGCUUCAGGUAAAAAGCAACAGCAAGACAGGAGAAAAAGCGUUCAGAAGACACACAUCAAAUAGCGGAUGAAGACAUAAUUUUAGCCAACUCUGAAGGUUUCGACGCACAAACAGAUUAGGAAGAGGCAACACCUAGAGAGCAAAAGGAGUUUAACAACUGGUUGUCAGUUUAGCGUAGGGAGCGCUCAAAGUAAACUUCUUUAUCCAAGAAGGGAAAGAUGCUCGGGCAGCAAAACGUAUCCCUUAUGUACUUCAAAAGUAGCGGGCGCUAGGCGGGUGUUUCUGACAGCGUGGGCGGGGGCACGUGGGGCAUAAAGAGAGAAGGGGCUUGAGUGGUGAAAGAGUGUCCUGCUUCCUCCGAGAGCUUAGCUGGGGAGAAGAGCUGAGAGCGACUCGAGCUGAGGACGUGGAAGGGCCCACUCCGGACACUGCGCUCCAACCAGGAGGAGCAGGAGGAGGAGGAGGAUGAACAAAAUGGCCGCCGCCACCAGCCAGGCAGGAAACAGGGCAGAGCGCAGGCGCGACCCGCCAGGUCACCGCUCAGGCCAGCCGCGACAGCCUGCAAGGGGGACGACCGAGGGGAGAGAAAAAAGGGCCGCCGAGGAAACCCUGGGACCCGCUCACGACGGACCACGUCGUCGCUGUGGGCCUCUGGCCGGCCGAAGCCCAGCCAGCUCCGGGAGGGAUCGGGCAAAAAGAGAAACGUCGUGAAGCCGAAGUCUCUGGGAAUUGUGGUCCUGGAAAUGAGAGAGGGAAGCACUUCUGCAGAGGACUUCUGGAACCUGUAGUCAAGAGGAGCCGACGGCGCCCGCCCGCGCUGGGGCGUGAAGAGGAGACUUCUGGGUAGUGUAGUCAUACGUGAGGACGUGCGACGACCAGGAAGUCGGCGGGCUGGGAGGUAAAGGGAAGAAUAAAAGCGACAUUGAAAGGCGGGGAGACCAAGUGGGAAAAAGCGCUGUCUGGGAAAGCGAACUACAAGUCCCAGAGUGCCUCGCGCCGGGGGCUGUCCUCGGACUGCUCCAGGCAUUGUAAGGCUCUUCUGUUGGCCCAGUCUGAGCUGCUGCUCCGCCUUCGUCCAGCCCGAGAGCGGUUUCUUCAACUGUGGCUCAGGCAGCACUCUCCCUCCGCGUGGUGUCCGAGCCAGCAGGCCCGUCCGGCCCUCCUGUGUUCAUCAGAACGGCUGGCCCGCGUUAGUCAACCGCCGCUUCGCGCGACAGUCAGAAGAGAGGCUGUGCUGGCGGGGACCCGGAGGGGUUGGGGUGUUUUGGGGACGCGUUUUCCCACAAAUAGGUAUUUCUAGCCUAUUUGUUAAAUACAAGUAGUUGGCCUGCUUGUAAAUUGCUUUACAAGUUUCAGAGGUUUCCCUAUCAAGUGUCUCAUCGGAUAGUGGGGUAAGAAGAGCAGCCCUAUUAUAAUGACUUGCCCAACUCCCCCGUAUUCUUGGAGUUAAAAAAAAAAUCCUUGGGCAGAGACGUGCACAGACACAAAGUUGCGUUUACAGACAUCAGUCAUGUGGGCUAGAAACGCAGUUUUGCAUGAAGAUAGGGGAAGCCAUGUUCACACUAGCUCUGCAUCCCUGUAGAAUUUGUCUUCUCACCCCCCACAACAGUUCCUGGUGUGCUUUUUCCCUCCUCUAAGUACCUUCAGGAGAAAGUACUUGGUCUUGUAGCUUAGUGAAGAGUGGCGAUGAAGAAAGAUCUUUCAGCCCAUUGCCAGAACUUAACUGCCCCGGUUAGUAAUGGCUUAAGAGUUGCUUUUGCCGACAUGUACUAAGUGCAUGUCGACCUCUGCAAGUGGCGGUGUGUAUGCGUGCCACUGAACAUUAAUCUUGAAAGCAGAAUCAACCAUGCAGCAAGCCCUUGUGUUGUCCAUUUUCAGGGGAGGAAAUUUCAACCUGAAAGACUUCAUAGAGACACGGCAAAGGAGUUGAGCCCCAUAAGAGUCCGUAGGAACAACAAAAGGGCUCAGACGCCAGGACCCAUGGCUAAAAUGUAUGGGCUGGGGAUGGGGGCGGGAGUGGGGGGAAGGGAACUAAAGCUAGAGAGGACCUUGUAGAACCGUGUUGUCAAGAAUCUAUUUCAUGCUGAGGAAUUUGAGCUUUCUCUUCCAGGCAGUGAGGAGCCACUCAAAGGUUUUGUCUAUGUUUUUAACUGGACCUAGGUGUAGAACUGGAUUUAAUUAUAAUCCAAUCCAUUAACCCAUGCCUGGCCCGCUGUGAUAGUUUCCUGUUGAUGCUGUAACAAAUUACUGCAAAUUUAGAUACUUAAAACAACACGAAUUUAUUUUCUUACAAUUCUGGAAGUCAGAAGUCCAAAAUCAGUUACACUGGGCUAAAAUCAAGGUGUCGGCAAGGCUGGUUCCUUGCCUUUUCCAGCUUCUAGAGGCUGCCUGCAUUCCUUGGCUCUUGGCCCCAUCCUCCAUCUUCAAGAAAAGAAGCAUAGUAUCUUCUUUCUUCUCUGCCUCUGUACGUACAUCGUGAUUCUCCUGCCACCCCUUUUCAUUUACGAGAACCUUUUGUGAUUACUUUGGGCGAAGAUUAUCUCAAGAUUCUUGAUCACAUCUGCAAAGUCCCUUUUAGCGUAACAUUCCCAAAUUCUGGGAAUUAGGACAUAGAAAUCCUUGGUGGACCAUUAUUCAGUUUACCGCACCCACCUUUAUUACUUUAGUUUUGAUUAUAGCCACAAACCCACCACACUAAAAAGUUAUAAUGACAGAGUUUAUAUCUGUAUCUAUGCUAUACCUCCUACACACAAUAACGCACACCCCUGCCUUCGCUUGGGGUAACCAUCUUUCUGAAUCCUGUCUUUACUAUUUCUUGCUUUCCUUCUACAAGGUUUUAUUCCACAUGUACAUAGUCCUAAAAAUCAUAUGUAUAUACAUGUAUAUUUGAGUUUUUUUUAACUUAGUGAAAAGAAUAUGCCCACUACAAACUAGAAUGGUUAAAAUGGGCAUGUUUACUGGCAGUGAAAUUAUUAAGGUUAAAAUCCAAAACACUAACACCACCAAGUGCUGGUGAGUAUGAAAAGCAACAGGAACUAUCAUUCUUUGCUGGUAGGACUGCAAAAUGUUAUAGCCCCUUUGGAGGACAGCUUGUCAGUUCCUUACAAAACUAAACAUAAUGCCUAGGUACUUACCCAAAUGAGCUGAAAACAUGUUUACAUAAAAACCUGCACACAAAUGUUUACAGCAGCUUUGUUCAUAAUCAUCCCAAAUUGGAAGCAACUAAGAUGUCCUUGAUAUAAGUGAAUGGAUAAACUGUCGUACAAGGUGGUACAUCCAUGCAAAGAAAUAUUGUUCAGUGAUUUUUUUAAAAACAGCUAUUGAUAUGGUUUGGCUCUGUAUCCCCACCCGAUCUGAUCUUGAAUUGUACUCCCAUAAUUCCCACGUGUUGUGGGAGGGACCUGGUGGGAGAUAAUUUGAAUCAUGGGGGCAGUUUCCCCCAGACUGUUCUUGUGGUAGUGAGUAAGUCUCACGAGAUCUGAUGGUUUUAUCAGGGGUUUCCGCUUUUGCAUCGUCCUCAUUUUCUCUUGCUGCCACCGUGACUCUGAGGCCUUCCCAGCCAUGUGGAACUCUAAGUCCAAUUAAACCUCUUUUUCUUCCCA